GAUGAAGAACGCAGCGAAAUGCGAUACGUAAUGUGAAUUGCAGAUUUCAGUGAAUCAUCGAAUCUUUGAACGCACAUUGCGCCCGCUAGUAUUCUGGCGGGCAUGCCUGUUCGAGCGUCAUUUCAACCAUCAAGCCCUAGGCUUGCGUUGGAGCCCUGCGGCUGCCGCAGGCUCCCAAAUCCAGUGGCGGGCUCGUCGUCGUACCGAGUGCAGUAAACAUCCUCGCUCAGGGAACGUGACGGGUUCUUGCCGUGUAACCCCCCACAUAUCAAGGUUGACCUCGGAUCAGGUAGGAAUACCCGCUGAACUUAAGCAUAUCAAUAAGCGGAGGA
rnacentral:misc_RNA from 1 species